CUUGUACUCCCUCCGUCCAGAAUUACUUGUCGCUAAAAUGAAAAGAAAUGGAUGUAUCUAGAACUAAAAUACGUCUAGAUACAUCCAUUUCUAUGACAAGUAAUUCCGUACGGAGGGAGUCUUUA
rfam:Hordeum vulgare subsp. vulgare, WGS project CAJW01000000 data, contig: morex_contig_43261